GAUGAAGAACGUAGCGAAAUGCGAUAAGUAAUGUGAAUUGCAGAAUUCAGUGAAUCAUCGAAUCUUUGAACGCACCUUGCACCCUUCGGCAUUCUGAAGGGUAUGCUCGUUUGAGUGUCAUUGUACUCUCACACUCCCGAUCUUUGCAUUGGGAGCAGUGGACUUGGGUUUGCUGCUUCACCGUCGCUUACCUCAAAUAGGUUAGUGCAACUCUUGGUUGGACAUAGUACGGCGUGAUAAGUGUUCUUCGCCGGUGCCUCGCAAAGAGGGUGGCCGAUCGGGAUGUUGUGCUCCAAACCGUCUUCGGACAAUCUCUGACGACUUGACCUCAAAUCGAGUAAGACUACCCGCUGAACUUAAGCAUAUCAAUAAGCGGAGGA
rnacentral:misc_RNA from 1 species